CCUACGGGAGGCAGCAGUGGGGGAUAUUGCACAAUGGAGGAAACUCUGAUGCAGCGACGCCGCGUGAGGGAAGACGGUCUUCGGAUUGUAAACCUCUGUCUUUGGGGAAGAAAAUGACGGUACCCAAAGAGGAAGCUCCGGCUAACUACGUGCCAGCAGCCGCGGUAAUACGUAGGGAGAGAUGGUUGUACGGAAUUACUGGGUGUAAAGGGAGCGUAGGCGGGCGAGAAAUUUGAAUGUUAAAUCUACCGGCUUAACUGGUAGCUGAGUUUAAAACUUCUUGUCUUGAGUGAAGUAGAGGCAGGUGGAAUUCCUAGUGUAGCGGUGAAAUGCGGAGAUAUUAGGAGGAAAUCCGGUGGCGAAGGCGGCCUGCUGGGCUUUAACUGACGCUGAGGCUCGAAAGCGUGGGGAGCAAACAGGAUUAGAUACCCUUGUAGUC
rnacentral:rRNA from 1 species